CAUCCAUUGUGAUUUCCAAUAGUCCAACGCCUAGCUCAAACUGGAAAGCCAGACACCAGAACCCUGCCCUCAUACCUCAGACCUCCCAGCCAGUAUCCAAAAUAACAGCAGGGACAAUAAAUAACUUCUUAACUUCAGUCCAAAACAGUUUGUGUCCGUGAUGUGGGUCUGUCUGCGUUCUUCAUAACAAACACUUAAAUGCUAGAGGACAAUACUACUCAGUAACUAAAGGGAAAUCAGAGACCUUCAGACACACACAAAUGUAUACAGAGGUAUAAGCUGAUGACCGGUUGUGGAGACGAUAGUAAUAAAAACUCUAGUCUAACGUCCACAUGUCGUGGGAAUCCACAGGGAAAAAAGUGAAAACCUUAAUGGUUCCCAGAGGCGAACAGAAAGGCCACUGUCAGGAAAGGAAAAGGAUUUCUGAUCUCAAGAAUGAACCUUAUCCGUGAUUAUUAGAAAUGUCCGCUCAUCUCUUCACAGCUUGCACUGAAAUGUUUCCAUUCCAUUCAUGUUCAUGGAGGAGAUCAGAGCCAAGGUGGCGGCCUUACACCUGAACCUAACACGCUGUAAAGUUCAGACGAGGUUAAGAUUAAAUGUCAGGGAUGAGUUGUCCCAUGUCUUUGAGGAUAAUUCCUCCUGACCCUGAAGAGGAAUCUAAACACACAAGUGAAGCCCCGCAGAAAAUAAACCUGAUAAGAUGGUUUUCAUGCCUCCUUGUCAUGUUGGAUUUCUGAUUUUAGUUUCCCAUGACUGGAAUGAGCUUGUGAUGAGAACGCUUUAACCCUUUAAAGACAACAAAGAGAAGCCUUCCCUUCUUUCCCAGCCGCCGCACACCGGCCAGCGAUAAAUACCUGCGGUGUUCAGGAGGGCUUUAAGGCUGCUCCGUAUACGCCACUCAUCCUGAUGAGCUGUCUGCACCGACAUCGUUUCCGGCUCGAGGCCCGGAUAAAGACACCGCAGGCACCGGACCGACAGAUGGAGAAUCUUCCUAUCCUCCAGGAAAUCUGCACUUCAGUUGAUGUAUGGACGGAGGCGCAGAAGGCGCGGGAUCAAAGUUUGGCUUAACUGUUGUUUUCUUUUCACUUUGUCCUUUUUUUUAAUUUUCUUCUGCUGAUGCUGAGAAGUAAACGCACUUUGGGUAAACUAUCCCGGAAAUGCAACUUUCAGGCCAAUUAGGCUCAAAAACUAAAACCUAAGGAGGUGGGGGGGGCAGAAGCCUAGCGGUAAGUGCGCGUCCCAUGCAUGGAGGCUCGGUCCUCCAGGUAGGUGCCACGAGUUCAAAUCCAGCCUGUGGUUCGUUCCCUGCAUGUCAUUCCCCCACUUUAAAACUUUAACUUUAAAAGCAGCCCAGAGAAUCACAGCAGCCGCCUUCUUUAUUGAAUCCAUCUCCAGGUGGAGGGGAUUACUGCUGCAUUUGUGAAAAAAAAAAACAUGUUCAGGGGGAAGUGAGUGAAGUCUGAUCCAUGUGCUCCAGUGAUUUGACUCAGGGAGUUAAGGAGUUAACCUGGCGGCUGUAGCUCGCUGCUUAUCUUUAGUAGCUUUGACCUCUUGUCAUUCUUAGACGACCACAACAUUUUUGGCACUUCCUCUUCUCCAUCGCCGUGUUUGGAUCCUUCCUGGUUCUCCUAACCACAGAUGACGACCUCGACACCGUCCAGAGAGACAAGAUCUUGGUCUUCUAGACGUGUCAGCUCUUCUGUGAUGAGCUCAGCUCCUGCUCUCUGCCUUAUCGCCCAGUUAACACUCUAAUUAGCUACACAGCUAACGUUGGCGUUCAUCUUAAAGUUUUGGUACACAAUGAAGGGUUCCUCAAUCCUCGCCUAUGUAGCCAUCACACUCUGCUCAGACUUUUGACCCUGGCCAAACGGACUAUGGAACAGCUAACUGUUGUAAAAUGGUAGCUUGUUGGUUAUAAACAUGGUCCCAAAGUCCCCCCAAUUUUCACUUUUACUGGUCCUUCUUUACUUUUCAAUUUUGAAUAUUCCCGACAGAAAUCUGCUCUCCCAAAAAUAGGUCAUGUUUUUUGUACGUUUUUGAAUCACCCUUGUCUCUGUCUUUUCAGAUCCUGCUCCUCAUGUUCUGUGUCAGCCCUCCCCUGGUUACCCAUCACCUGUGUCUCCUUAUCACCUGAUUGUCUGUAUUUAACUCCAGCGUGUUCUCCCUCGUGUUACCAGUUCAUAGUGUUUCCCUCGACCUAGCGUUUUGUCUCAUUAGCCUUGGUGUGUCUCUCCCUGAUUUUUGUUUACCCUGCCUUUUGCCUUCUCCUCUUUCUGUGUACCGAACCUUGAACUACAUUAAACGACUUGCCUUUUAA